rnacentral:rRNA from 1 species
AUACGGAGGGUGCAAGCGUUAAUCGGAAUUACUGGGCGUAAAGCGUGCGUAGGCGGUUUAUUAAGUCAGAUGUGAAAGCCCCGGGCUUAACCUGGGAACUGCAUUUGAUACUGGUAGACUAGAGUAUGGUAGAGGGGGGUAGAAUUCCUAGUGUAGCGGUGAAAUGCGUAGAUAUUAGGAGGAAUACCAGUGGCGAAGGCGGCCCCCUGGACCAAUACUGACGCUGAGGUCCGAAAGCGUGGGGAGCGAACAGGAUUAGAAACCCUAGUAGUCC